GAACCAAUUACAGGAAAUGCAAAGUAUAUUCUGGAUGAUGUCAUUCUCUGUUUAUCAAAGGAUGGAUACAAGGAUAUGUUAAAACUAGCUGAUAACUUUUCUGCCUUUAAUCAACGCUUAAAAUAUGCGCAUUUUUGUCCACAUGUUUCUGUGAAAUCUGAUCCUCGUUCUUGGUGGAAGUAUGCUUAUAGAGCUGUAUCUGACAAAGUGAAGAAGGGAAGAUUGAUGUAGGCAUUGGAUCUUCAUCAUUUGCAAAAUCACAGGGCCUGGAAUGACUCAUUGAUAGUGGAUGUUUGCCAGGUGAGUGGGAAUUAAAGUCUUCUUUCUUGAAAGCUAUAUUUCUUCUUUCCUUGAAUCAUAAGCAUUUAUUUUUUCCUGUACUGGUACAAAAGUAUUUUCUUCUCUUACAAUGUUUAUAUGUUAAUGGUCAGGGUCAAUAUAAGUCGACACUGGUUUGCCCAGCAUGUGGAAAGAUUUCUAAAAACGUCGUGGGAAGAUCCAGAGUUGAAAUAAUUCAUCGACCACAUGAAAAGUAAGCUUGCAUCCCUAUCCUUAUGUAAUUGGUAAAUAGCACUGGUAAACAUGUGAUGUACAAACUGGUGUUGCCAAUCCAUCUAUUGAAAAAUAGCUUUAACUAAGUAAUUUCAGAAGGGGAUUAUAGUAUCAAUUAAAAUAAUUAUUGGCUACUUGUUCAUUAAGAAGCUGAAGUCCGUAUGAAUAAAGUUCAAGCGCUCCAAGUCAA